GACGAACGCUGGCGGCGUGCUUAACACAUGCAAGUUGUACGGUGCGACAUGGAAGCUUGCUGAAGUGUCGUAGAGUAGCGAACGGGUGAGUAAUGCAUGAGAAUCUGCCCUUUGGAGGGGGACAACAGCUGGAAACGGCUGCUAAUACCCCGUAAGCCGGGAGGUGAAAGGUACGCGAGUACUGCCCGGGGAUGAGCUCAUGUCCUAUCAGCUGGUUGGUGGGGUAACGCCCAACCAAGGCGACGAUCAGUAGCCGGCCUGAGAGGGUGAACGGCCACACUGGGACUGAGACACGGCCCAGACUCCUACGGGAGCAGCAGUGGGGAAUAUUGCGCAAUGGGGGAAACCCUGACGCAGCGACGCCGCGUGAGCGAAAGAAGG
rnacentral:rRNA from 1 species